rnacentral:rRNA from 1 species
UAACAAGACCGUUCUCUGAUGAGGUCGGUCAUUGGAAUGAGAACAAUCCAGACACUUUAACGAGUAUCUACGAGAGGGCAAGUCUGGUGCCAGCAGCCGCGGUAAUUCCAGCUCUCGUAAGGUAUAGAAUUAUUGCUGUGGUUAAAAAGUUCGUAGUUGGAUUUCGAUGUGAGCACGGGUCUGCCGAUUCGGUUAGUACUCGUUGCUUUCACUUUGUGUGUUCUUGUGCGUUGUGUGCUUGCAUGCAGCGUGCGCCACACAGGAUUACUUUGAACGGCUCAAGUGCUUAAAGCACGUCUUAUGACUGAAUACCGGUGCAUGGAAUAAUGGAAGAAGGCUUCGGCCGGGUUUUAUUGGUUUUGCUGGCUGAAACAAUGGUUAACAGGAACAGCCGGGGGCAUUCGUAUCGUUACGCGAGAGGUGAAAUUCGUGGACCGUAGCGAGACGCCCAAAAGCGAAGGCACUUGCCAAGAGUGUUUUCAUUAAUCAAGAACGAAAGUCAGAGGUUCGAAGGCGAUUAGAUACCGCCCUAGUUCUGACCGUAAACAAUGCCAACUGUCGAUCCGCUUGUGGAUUCUAUUCAUGAGCGGGGAGGUUCCCGGAAACGAAAGUUUUUCGGUUCCGGGGGAAGUAUGGUUGCAAAACUGAAACUUAAAGGAAUUGACGGAAGGGCACCACCAGGAGUGGAGCUUGCGGCUUAAUUUGACUCAACACGGGAAAUCUCACCCGGCCAGUACAUUAUAAGGAUUGACAGAUUGAUAGCUCUUUCAUGAUUUGGUGAAUGGUGGUGCAUGGCCGUUCUUAGUUCGUGGACUGAUUUGUCUGGUUUAUUCCGAUAACGAGCGAGACUUUGACUAUUAAAUAGUGCAGUUGUUUUCUUCUGAAUGCAAUUGAUCACUUCUUAAAGGAAUUUGGGGUUUCCAACCUCAAGAGAUUGAGCAAUAACAGGUCUGUGAUGCCCUUAGAUGUUCGGGGCCGCACGCGUGCUACAAUGAUGGUAACAGCGUGAUUGUCCUUUUCCAAAGGAAUUGGC